UAAUACGUAGGUGGCGANCGUUGUCCGGAAUUACUGGGUGUAAAGGGCGCGUAGGCGGGAAUGCAAGUCAGAUGUGAAAUACCAGGGCUUAACUCUGGGGCUGCAACUGAAACUGUAUUUCUUGAGUGUCGGAGAGGAAAGCGGAAUUCCCCGUGUAGCGGUGAAAUGCGUAGAUAUGGGGAGGAACACCGGUGGCGAAGGCGGCUUUCUGGACGAUAACUGACGCUGAGGCGCGAAAGCGUGGGUAGCAAACAGGAUUAGAUACCCUGGUAGUCCACGCUGUAAACGAUGGAUACUAGGUGUAGGAGGUAUCGACCCCUUCUGUGCCGCACUUAACACGAUAAGUAUCCCACCUGGGGAGUACGCCGCAANGCUGAAACUCAAAGGAAUUGACCGGGGCCCGCACAAGCAGUGGAGUAUGUGGUUUAAUUCGAAGCAACGCGAAGAACCUUUCCAGGGCUUGACNUCCCUUGAAUACCUAGAAAUACGGGAAGCCCUCCGGGCCNGAACC
rnacentral:rRNA from 1 species